rnacentral:rRNA from 1 species
GACGAACGCUGGCGGCGUGCUUAACACAUGCAAGUCGAACGGAAAGGCCCUGCUUUUGUGGGGUGCUCGAGUGGCGAACGGGUGUGUAACACGUGAGUAACCUGCCCUUGACUUUGGGAUAACUUCAGGAAACUGGGGCUAAUACCGGAUAGGAGCUCCUGCUGCAUGGUGGGGGUUGGAAAGUUUCGGCGGGUGGGGAUGGACUCGGGGCUUAUCAGCUUGUGGGUGGGGUAGUGGCUUACCAGGGCUUUGACGGGUAGCCGGCCUGAGAGGGUGACCGGCCACAUUGGGCCUGCGAUACGGCCCAGACUCCUACGGGAGGCAGCAGUGGGGAAUCUUGCACAAUGGGCGGAAGCCUGAUGCAGCAACGCCGCGUGCGGGAUGACGGCCUUCGGGUUGUAAACCGCUUUCGCCUGUGACGAAGCGUGAGUGACGGUAAUGGGUAAAGAAGCACCGGCUAACUACGUG